GGGAAAAGGGAUAAGUUUCCCCACCUUUUAAUCUAUCUGCCUGUCUAUCUAUCUAUUAUCUAUCUGUCAUUUUGCCUCCUGGACAGUUGGCUGACGAAGUGUCUGAUAAACCAGCUUCAGAUACAUGCUACAAAAGGCUACUGAGCUGGCCUGAUGAUGAUCCUGCUGAGAUAUAUUUAUAGCAGAUGAUUUGUGGAUGAUAACUACGCCAAGCAAGACACGGUCUCCAGUAACCCCAGGCUCGUCUGACUUCCUCAGGGGAUUAUAAUCAAGAAUCAGGAAAAGAACCCUAUAUGAACAGUCUGGUCUCUGGACACUAACAACAGCACAAUCCAAAGGCAAAGCAAGGAAGGAACCACUUUGUUUCAUGUCUGCAAGAUGCUCCAUAUAGAAAGCAUUGCUGACAUGUUGACCCAACAGCAAAAAGAGAGCAGCAGUUCACACACCCUCAGCUCUCUGUCCUUUCGUUUCUAUUGAUGUUGGUCCACUUUUAUGAUUUAAUACAUGUUAAAUUCACCAUUUCAAAUUAU